rnacentral:rRNA from 1 species
AGUGAACGCUGGCGGUAGGCCUAACACAUGCAAGUCGAACGGCAGCACAGUAAGAGCUUGCCCUUACUGUUGGCGACUGGCGGACGGGUGAGACAUACAUCGCCAUCUACUUUUUCGUGGGUGAUAACGUAGGGCCGCUUCCGCUACUACCUAAUAUUUUCUACGGCUUAGAUCAGGGGUUCUUCGCACUUUUCGUGUCUCUUUUAGCCGAUGUCGCAUUAGCUAGUUGGCGAGGUAAGGUCCCACCAAGGCAACGAUCCGUAGCUGGUCUGAGAGGAUGAUCAGCCACACUGGAACUGAGACACGGUCCAGACUCCUACGGGAGGCAGCAGUAGGGAAUAUUCGACAAUGGGCGAAAGCCUGACCGAGCCACGCCGCGUGAGUGAAGAAGGCCUUCGGAUUGUAAAACUCUGUUAUUGGGAAAGAAAAGAAGCAGGUGAAAACGCGGACGUUCUGACGGUACCUAAAGAAUAAGCCACGGCUAACUUCGUG